AACCUUACCAAAUCUUGACAUCCUCUGACCCCUCUAGAGAUAGAGUUUUCCCCUUCGGGGGACAGAGUGACAGGUGGUGCAUGGUUGUCGUCAGCUCGUGUCGUGAGAUGUUGGGUUAAGUCCCGCAACGAGCGCAACCCUUAAGCUUAGUUGCCAUCAUUAAGUUGGGCACUCUAAGUUGACUGCCGGUGACAAACCGGAGGAAGGUGGGGAUGACGUCAAAUCAUCAUGCCCCUUAUGAUUUGGGCUACACACGUGCUACAAUGGACAAUACAAAGGGCAGCGAAACCGCGAGGUCAAGCAAAUCCCAUAAAGUUGUUCUCAGUUCGGAUUGUAGUCUGCAACUCGACUAUAUGAAGCUGGAAUCGCUAGUAAUCGUAGAUCAGCAUGCUACGGUGAAUACGUUCCCGGGUCUUGUACACAC
rnacentral:rRNA from 1 species